rnacentral:rRNA from 1 species
GAUGAACGCUAGCUACAGGCUUAACACAUGCAAGUCGAGGGGUAACGAGAGGGAAGCUUGCUUUCCUUGUCGACGACCGGCGCACGGGUGAGUAACGCGUAUCCAACCUGCCCCCAACUAGGGAAUAACCUUGCGAAAGUAAGACUAAUACCCUAUAAUUUCCUCAGAUGUCAUCUGACGAGGAAUAAAGAUUUAUCGGUUGUGGAUGGGGAUGCGUCUGAUUAGCUUGUUGGCGGGGUAACGGCCCACCAAGGCAACGAUCAGUAGGGGUUCUGGGAGGAAGGUCCCCCACAUUGGGACGGAGACACCGUCCAAACUCCUAGGGGAGGCAGCAGUGAGGAAUAUUGGUCAAUGGGCGGAAGCUUGCACCAGCGAAGUAGCGUGCAGGAUGACGGCCCUAUGGGUUGUAAACUGCUUUUAUACAGGAAUAAAGUUAGCCACGUGUGGUUAUUUGUAGGUACUGUAUGAAUAAGGAUCGGCUAAUUCCGUGCCAGCCGCCGCAGUAA